GGAGCCCCAGCCCCAGGAGUCCCAGGUGUUCCCAUUCUGUGAUCAGGACAGACACAGACACCUCACCAUGGAGUCUGUGCUUGGCUGGGUGUUCCUGCUUGCUCUUUUAAAAGGUGUCCAGUGUGACAUGCAGCUGGUGGAGUCUGGGGUAGACCUGGUGAAGCCUGGGGGGUCCCUGAGACUCACCUGUGUAGCCUCUGGAUUCACCUUCAGUAGCUAUGGAAUGAUCUGGGUCUGCCAGGCUCUAGGGAAGGGGCUGCAGUGGGUCGCAUAUAUUACUUAUGGAGGUAGCACAUACUACGCAGACUCUGUGAAGAGCCAAUUCACCAUCUCCAGACACAACGCCAAGAACACGCUGUAUCUGCAGAUGAACAUGAGGGUCGAGGACAUGGCCACAUAUUACUGUUCGAGGACACAGAGAGGGGACCCCACUGGGAGCCCAGACACAAAUCUCCCUGCAGGAGGGGAUCAGCACUGA